UACGUAGGGUGCGAGCGUUAAUCGGAAUUACUGGGCGUAAAGUGUGCGCAGGUGGCCGCGCAAGUCGAGUGUGAAAGCCCCGGGCUUAACUUGGGAAUUGCGCUCGAAACUACGUGGCUAGAGUGUGGCAGAGGAAGGUGGAAUUCCACGUGUAGCGGUGAAAUGCGUAGAGAUGUGGAGGAACACCGAUGGCGAAGGCAGCCUUCUGGGCCAACACUGACGCUCAUGCACGAAAGCGUGGGGAGCAAACAGG
rnacentral:rRNA from 1 species